rnacentral:rRNA from 1 species
UUGGAGGGCAAGUCUGGUGCCAGCAGCCGCGGUAAUUCCAGCUCCAAUAGCGUAUAUUAAAGUUGUUGCAGUUAAAAAGCUCGUAGUUGAAUUUCAGGCCUGGCUGGACGGUCCGCCCUUCGGGUGAGUACUGUCUGUGGUCGGGUCCUACCUUCUGGCGAAGCGUCAUGGCCUUAACCGGCCGUGGCGGGGAACCAGGACUUUUACUGUGAAAAAAUUAGAGUGUUCAAAGCAGGCAAAUCGCUUGGAUACAUUAGCAUGGAAUAAUGGAAUAGGACAAUGGUUCUAUUUGUUGGUUUCUAGGACCGUUGUAAUGAUUAAUAGGGAUAGUCGGGGGCAUCAGUAUUCAAUUGUCAGAGGUGAAAUUCUUGGAUUUAUUGAAGACUAACUACUGCGAAAGCAUUUGCCAAGGAUGUUUUCAUUAAUCAGUGAACGAAAGUUAGGGGAUCGAAGACGAUCAGAUACCGUCGUAGUCUUAACCAUAAACUAUGCCGACUAGGGAUCGGGCGAUGUUAUCUUUUUGACUCGCUCGGCACCUUAUGGGAAACCAAAG